UACGUAGGUGGCAAGCGUUAUCCGGAUUUACUGGGUGUAAAGGGCGUGUAGGCGGGAAAGCAAGUCAGAUGUGAAAACCACGGGCUCAGCCUGUGGCCUGCAUUUGAAACUGUUUUUCUUGAGUACUGGAGAGGCAGACGGAAUUCCUCGUGUAGCGGUGAAAUGCGUAGAUAUGAGGAGGAACACCAGUGGCGAAGGCGGUCUGCUGGACAGCAACUGACGCUGAGGCGCGAAAGCGUGGGGAGCAAACAGG
rnacentral:rRNA from 1 species